rnacentral:tRNA from 1 species
UAUAGCUCAGUGGUAGAGUGCAUGCUUAGCAUGCACAAGGUCCUGGGUUCAAACUCCAGUA